rnacentral:rRNA from 1 species
GACGAACGCUGGCGGCGUGCUUAACACAUGCAAGUCGAACGGAAAGGCCCUGCUUUUGUGGGGUGCUCGAGUGGCGAACGGGUGAGUAACACGUGAGUAACCUGCCCUUGACUUUGGGAUAACUUCAGGAAACUGGGGCUAAUACCGGAUAGGAGCUCCUGCUGCAUGGUGGGGGUUGGAAAGUUUCGGCGGUUGGGGAUGGACUCGCGGCUUAUCAGCUUGUUGGUGGGGUAGUGGCUUACCAAGGCUUUGACGGGUAGCCGGCCUGAGAGGGUGACCGGCCACAUUGGGACUGGGAUACGGCCCAGACUCCUACGGGAGGCAGCAGUGGGGAAUAUUGCACAGUGGGCGGAAGCCUGAUGCAGCAACGCCGCGUGCGGGAUGACGGCCUUCGGGUUGUAAACCGCUUUCGCCUGUGACGAAGCGGGAGUGACGGUAAUGGGUAAAGAAGCACCGGCUAACUACGUG